rnacentral:lncRNA from 1 species
AAAACUGUAGUUGAAUCAAUCUGAAAACACUUCCCUUAGAUUAAAUCUUAGUUUCUUCAGAAAAAAUGAAAAUAUAGCACAAAAACUUGAAAAAGGUACUGUUCCAUUGAAAUUUUAGGUGGAUUUCGAAAUAUAAUGGUUGGUUUGCAUCAUUUAGCAUAAUGUUAGAUUGCUGAGAUUUUCUGGAGCUUCCUUGAUUCAUCUCAAGUGUGUUUGAGUUCACCCGAGACAGUUUUUGGCUGUUUUAUUGGUUGUUGGUUUCAGAAAUUGUUCCUGAG